rnacentral:rRNA from 1 species
UACGGAGGUGCAAGCGUUAUCCGGAUUCACUGGGUUUAAAGGGUGCGUAGGUGGCCUGUUAAGUCAGGGGUGAAAGACGGUAGCUCAACUAUCGCAGUGCCUUGAUACUGAUGGGCCUUGAAUAACUAGAGGUAGGGCGGAAUGUGACAAGUAGGCGGUGAAAUGCAUAGGAUAUGUCACAGAACAGCCAAUUGCGAAGGCAGCUUACUAUGGUUUUAAUUGACACUGAGGCACGAAAGCGUGGGGAUCAAACAGG